CCUACGGGUGGCAGCAGUGGGGAAUAUUGCGCAAUGGGCGAAAGCCUGACGCAGCCACGCCGCGUGAGCGAUGAAGGCCUUCGGGUCGUAAAGCUCUGUGGGGAGAGAAGAAUAAAGCCUGUGAAGAGCGGGCCUUGACGGUAUCUCCUUAGCAAGCACCGGCUAACUCCGUGCCAGCAGCCGCGGUAAUACGGAGGGUGCAAACGUUGCUCGGAAUCAUUGGGCGUAAAGCGCACGUAAGCGGCGGUGUGAAAGCCCCGGGCUCAACCCGGGAAGUGCAUUCAAAACUGUUUCGCUUGAAUCUCGGAGGGGGUCAGAGAAUUCCCGGUGUAGAGGUGAAAUUCGUAGAUAUCGGGAGGAAUACCAGUGGCGAAGGCGCUGACCUGGACGAAGAUUGACGCUGAGGUGCGAAAGCGCGGGGAGCAAACAGGAUUAGAUACCCCGGUAGUC
rnacentral:rRNA from 1 species